rnacentral:lncRNA from 1 species
UAAGAACGCAUUGCAGGUCAGCUGGCUGAACCUCAUUGUGACCUGGGAGCCCUGCAUGAUGAAGGGAUGAUGGGUGAGCUACCAAGGCUAACUUUUUCCUGAGGACAUUGAGUUAGGGAAGUGGCCUCUCCUUGAGGGAAGGAGCCAGAUGACUUCUCAGAGAACAACAACCAUAUUCAAAAUAUUCUCAAGUUUCUUUUGUUUCUUCUUGUCUGCAUCUGAUAUCCAGGACAUUAUUCCACAGGAAAAGGUUAACAGGAGAUCAAGAUCGGCCAGGGCUAAGAGGAGGAUUGCAAGUGAUUCAGGACAGAAGCUGCUUCCUGUGCAGGAAAUGCGAGAUCUCUGCUCAGUGACAGAGGCUCAGGAAUUUCUUAGGACCUAUGGAUCUUCCAGUCCAACUGAGUGCAGAAAACUGCCAGGUUUCAUCUUCCUCCUUCUCUACACCAAAAAACCUGAGACCAGGAUGCCGUGUAGGUGCUUCAGUUGGGAGAUGAUGCCAAGAACCACAAAUGAGGAAAUGGUAAUGUGGGUCAGAAGAGAGAGAAAAGCCAAUAAGGGUCUAUUUGUAAGUGGGCUACCACCACGGGCAGGUGGGGCUCAAUCCCUCUGGGGCCCUCACAAAAUUGUGUAUCUCAUGAAAGGACAUGGAAGCUGGGAUAUUUGUCCAAUCACUUCCUUCUCUAACAGGGUGAGGGAUGCCUCAAGUGGCAUUAACCCCACAAUUCUGGUUAUAACAGUGCAGCAGGGAGUUCUCCUGGUGUCAGAGAAAGCCCGGUGGCUGAGAAGAGAGACCCAGGAGCUACACAGAGGUGGGAUGCUGUUCAAAGCCCAGGAAUUGUCUACCCUGGCCUGCAGAAGGGUCUGGCUCUUAUCACCUCUGAAUAGCAUGCCAUUCUCUUAG